rnacentral:rRNA from 1 species
ACGAACGCUGGCGGCGUGCCUAAUACAUGCCAGUAGAACGCACAGUUUAUACCGUAGCUUGCUACACCAUCGCCUGUGAGUUGCGAACGGGUGAGUAACGCGUAGGUAACCUGCCUGGUAGCGGGGGAUAACUAUUGGAAACGAUAGCUAAUACCGCAUAAUAUUGAUUAUUGCAUGAUAAUUGAUUGAAAGAUGCUAUUGCAUCACUACCAGAUGGACCUGCGUUGUAUUAGCUAGUAGGUGAGGUAACGGCUCACCUAGGCGACGAUACAUAGCCGACCUGAUAGGGUGAUCGGCCACACUGGGACGGAGACACGGCCCAGACUCCUGCGGGAGGGAGCAGUAGGGAAUCUUCGGGCAUGGACGAAAGUCUGACCGAGCAACGCCGCGUGAGUGAAGAAGGUUGUCGGGUCGUAAAGCUCUGUUGUAAGAGAAGAACGGGUGUGAGAGUGGAAAGUUCACACUGUGACGGUAUCUGACCAGAAAGGGACGGCUAACUACGUG